UCCUUCGCAGGUUGUCACAACAUAAAGGGAGGUUUCCGGUGUGUAUGUGACAGAGGGUUUGUCUCCGGCCCCGGAGAAGGUUCUUUGAACACCAUCACUCACUGUAAAGAUAUCAAUGAGUGUGAGUCCAGCCCGUGUGGCGCCAACGCAACUUGUCACAACUUAAAGGGAGGUUUCCUGUGUGUAUGUGACAAAGGGUUUGUCUCCGGCCCCGGAGAAGGUUCUUUCAACACCAUCACUCACUGUAAAGAUAUCGUAGGACUGUGACCACGAGUCACAGAC